rnacentral:misc_RNA from 1 species
AGUUCUCAACCACAUCAAUUAUUUUGGUGCGGCUUGGAUGGUGGGGGUUUUAUUUUGCAGGCUUUGGAAUAUUAAGUCUGCUCCCCUGAAAUGUAUUAGUGGUAUCUGAGCAGAGAAAGCUUACUACAGGUGUUGAUAAACUGUCUAUGCCUUUAAGCACACUGCAUGAAACAGAUUACACUGCUUCUAAUAAAUGAGAGGAAAUCUCUUUGAAAA